AACACAUGCAAGUCGAACGGAAACGAUGGUAGCUUGCUACCAGGCGUCGAGUGGCGGACGGGUGAGUAAUGCAUAGGAAUCUACCUUUUAGUGGGGGAUAACGUGGGGAAACCCACGCUAAUACCGCAUAAUCUCUACGGAGGAAAGUGGGGGAUCUUCGGACCUCAUGCUGAAAGAUGAGCCUAUGUCAGAUUAGCUUGUUGGUGGGGUAAUGGCCUACCAAGGCGACGAUCUGUAGCUGGUUUGAGAGAACGAUCAGCCACACUGGGACUGAGACACGGCCCAGACUCCUACGGGAGGCAGCAGUGGGGAAUAUUGGACAAUGGGCGCAAGCCUGAUCCAGCAAUGCCGCGUGUGUGAAGAAGGCCUGCGGGUUGUAAAGCACUUUCAGUUGGGAGGAAAGGUUUAAGUUUAAUACGCUUGAACUGUGACGUUACCAACAGAAGAAGCACCGGCUAACUCUGUGCCAGCAGCCGCGGUA
rnacentral:rRNA from 1 species